rnacentral:rRNA from 1 species
GCAAGUCGAGCAAACGAUGUAGCUUGCUACAGGCGUCGAGCGGCGGACGGGUGAGUAACGCGUAGGAAUCUGCCUAGUAGUGGGGGACAACAUGUGGAAACGCAUGCUAAUACCGCAUAAGCCCUACGGGGGAAAGGAGGGGAUCUUCGGACCUUUCGCUAUUAGAUGAGCCUGCGUGAGAUUAGCUAGUUGGUAGGGUAAAGGCCUACCAAGCUUACGAUCUAUAGCUGGUUUGAGAGGAUGAUC